AUGCACGCUGGCGGCGUGCCUCAUCCCUGCCAGUCGAGCGAACAGACGAGGAGCUUGCUCCUCUGACGUUAGCGGCGGACGGGUGAGUAACACGUGGAUAACCUACCUAUAAGACUGGGAUAACUUCGGGAAACCGGAGCUAAUACCGGAUAAUAUAUUGAACCGCAUGGUUCAAUAGUGAAAGACGGUUUUGCUGUCACUUAUAGAUGGAUCCGCGCCGCAUUAGCUAGUUGGUAAGGUAACGGCUUACCAAGGCAACGAUGCGUAGCCGACCUGAGAGGGUGAUCGGCCACACUGGAACUGAGACACGGUCCAGACUCUUACGGGAGGCAGCAGUGGGGAAUCUUCCGCAAUGGGCGAAAGCCUGACGGAGCAACGCCGCGUGAGUGAUGAAGGUCUUCGGAUCGUAAAACUCUGUUAUUAGGGAAGAACAAAUGUGUAAGUAACUAUGCACGUCUUGACGGUACCUAAUCAGAAAGCCACGGCUAACUACGUG
rnacentral:rRNA from 1 species